CAUGCAGUCGAACGAUGAACCGCUUUCGGGCGGGGAUUAGUGGCGAACGGGAGAGCAACACGUGGGCAAUCUGCCCUGCACUCUGGGACAAGCCCUGGAAACGGGGUCUAAUACCGGAUAUGACCGUCUGCCGCAUGGUGGAUGGUGUAAAGCUCCGGCGGUGCAGGAUGAGCCCGCGGCCUAUCAGCUUGUUGGUGAGGUAGUGGCUCACCAAGGCGACGACGGGUAGCCGGCCUGAGAGGGCGACCGGCCACACUGGGACUGAGACACGGCCCAGACUCCUACGGGAGGCAGCAGUGGGGAAUAUUGCACAAUGGGCGAAAGCCUGAUGCAGCGACGCCGCGUGAGGGAUGACGGCCUUCGGGUUGUAAACCUCUUUCAGCAGGGAAGAAGCGAAAGUGACGGUACCUGCAGAAGAAGCGCCGGCUAACUACGUGCCAGCAGCCGCGGUAAUACGUAGGGCGCAAGCGUUGUCCGGAAUUAUUGGGCGUAAAGAGCUCGUAGGCGGCUUGUCACGUCGGUUGUGAAAGCCCGGGGCUUAACCCCGGGUCUGCAGUCGAUACGGGCAGGCUAGAGUUCGGUAGGGGAGAUCGGAAUUCCUGGUGUAGCGGUGAAAUGCGCAGAUAUCAGGAGGAACACCGGUGGCGAAGGCGGAUCUCUGGGCCGAUACUGACGCU
rnacentral:rRNA from 1 species